UACGAAGGGUGCAAGCGUUACUCGGAAUUACUGGGCGUAAAGCGUGCGUAGGUGGUGAGUUAAGUCUGUCGUGAAAGCCCCGGGCUCAACCUGGGAAUGGCGAUGGAUACUGGCUCGCUAGAGUGCGGUAGAGGAGAGUGGAAUUCCCGGUGUAGCAGUGAAAUGCGCAGAUAUCGGGAGGAACACCAAUGGCGAAGGCAGCUCGCUGGGACGUGACUGACGCUGAGACGCGAAAGCGUGGGGAGCAAACAGG
rnacentral:rRNA from 1 species